rfam:Myotis brandtii contig292565, whole genome shotgun sequence.
GGCAAUUCUCAGGUGAUGCACCCCAGAAUCAGUCUCCCUCCUCUCUGGUUCCCGGUGCGCCACCCAAUAAUCGCA